UACGUAGGGACCAAGCGUUGUUCGGAUUUACUGGGCGUAAAGGGCGCGUAGGCGGCAAUUCAAGUCAUCUGUGAAAUCUCCGGGCUUAACUCGGAACGGUCAGGUGAUACUGCUUUGCUAGAGUGCGGAAGGGGCAAUCGGAAUUCUUGGUGUAGCGGUGAAAUGCGUAGAUAUUAGGAAGAACACCAGUGGCGAAGGCGGCUCACUGGUCCGGUACUGACGCUGAGGUGCGAAAGCGUGGGGAGCAAACAGG
rnacentral:rRNA from 1 species